UUAACAAUUGCUAUUUAGCGUAUUUUCAUGUCCUUCGCCUGCAGAUAGCGCAGCACCCAAGUUACUUCUAGAACCUCCGUGUUCCGCGAAUUACACCCCCACCUCAAACAAACCACUUGCACAUAUUCUGAGAGAAAGAGUAUUGAAUCCUCAUCCUCUUCCUUCCAUUCCUCAAGAACCCUAAUCCCAAUCAGCCAUGCAGCAAGGAGACUACACCUCCGCUCCAUCUCCAUAUUAUCAAUUCCCUCAUCUCCAAAACCCCAAUCCCAAUCCCAAUCCCAAUCCCGAUCCACACCCAAACAACCCUUACGCUUCUGCACCUCCCUUCACCCCCAAUUACGCUCCCUCCGAUUACACCCCUUACCCUUCCUACCCUCAAAAUCCCGAUCCUUCUCCACCCACUGCUCCUUCCUUUCCUCCCUCUUCUUCCAACCCUAAUUUACCCCCUCCUUUCAAUCCUCCCUUCGAAUCUAACCCUCCCUACCAACAACAACAACCCUAUUUCUCACCAUAUGAUCAGCAUCAAACGCCUCCCAACCCCAAUUCCACUCCCUCCUCAUACAACCCUGUCCCUUCUCCCUACAGCUACUCCGGACCCUCCUCCGUUCCUCCGAUUCCGACCUACGAACCUGCAUACGAGGCUCCCGUGAGGCCCGAUCAAGGUGGAGGCUACUUUGACGACAGGUACCGAGCCGGAUUUACUCGGAGCCAUUCCGAUUUGGGAUCCGAUUUUUACGGGAAGAGCGGUGGUGGCGCAGAUGAUGGAUACGGAGAUGGGGUGUAUGCUUAUGAAGGGGGCAAGGUGGAACCCUACGGGGCGCGUGGCACGGCGCCAAAAUCGUCGACUUGGGCGGCGUUUGAUGAUUACGGGAGGUCCAUCAGUUUCCCCUCGCAGAAGGAAUCUUCUUCUGUGGGGGGUAAGAUUGUGAAAGCGGUGCCCAAGGCUGAUACACAACAAGAUGUCAAAGGUGGCGGCGUGCAAAAGUUUCGUGUCAAGCUGUUGGCCGAAAGUGGGGGUCAGAGCACUAUGGAUGUUCUCUGUCAGAUUGGUUUGGAUGGAAUUCGUAUGCUGGAUCCAAAUACCAGCCGGACAUUGAGAAUUUAUCCUCUUGAGAACAUAACAAGAUGUGAUAGAAUCGAUUCAUCUACCUUUGCAUUUUGGUCAAAGAGUCCUGUUGACAUUGAGCCAAGACGGAUCAGAUUGCAAUCUAAUAGUUACACUACUAACACACUUUUGGAUAUAGUGACUGCUGCAACCAUACAGUUCAAGGAAAUGGGUGGAGGCAGGAGGCCUGCUGAAGCUGUGAAAACAAAUGAACUGUCUUCAGAAAGAAAGAAAGGUUUUGGUGAUUGGAUGAAUCUUAUCAAACCUGCCAAUGAAGAGAAGGAUCAUUGGGUACCGGAUGAAGCCGUCUCAAAAUGUACAGCAUGUGGCACUGAUUUUGGGGCUUUUGUUCGCAGGCAUCACUGUAGGAACUGUGGUGAUAUUUUCUGUGACAAAUGUACCCAUGGUAGAAUUGCUCUGACUGCUGAUGAGAAUGCUCAGCCUGUACGAGUUUGUGACCGUUGCAUGGCUGAAGUGACUCAGCGGCUGACUAGUGCGAAAGAGUCAUCAAGUAAACCUGCAUUGCAGAGUCAUGAGGAUCUUGCAAAGAAACUUCAGGAGGAACUAGAGAGAAAUCAAAAGGCAUCAGCUCUGUUAAGUGGUGUGGUUUGUAGGUUCCAAGUCUGAUGGAUCUGCAAGACGGAUGAAGGAAGUUGCAUGUCCUAUUUGCACUGUCCAUCUGCAGGUUCAGGUGCCUAGCUCGGGUUCAGAGACUAUUGAGUGUGGAGUUUGCCAGCACCCAUUUCUUGUGAGUGCUCAUUGAGUUCCGAUAAACAUUAAUAUGGAUGAGAAGGUGUCUUCGUGUUUCACAAGUUUAAAAUUCAUUUGUUUUACUGAGCUAUCUCUUGCACAUUAAUUAUCAAUGAUUGGGAUUGCCUUCCUUUUACUAUUAUUUUUGGGCUUGUUUCAUGUCCUAGUUUUACCUUGCAUGCAUCUUUUUUUUAUUUUUUUAUUUUGUGCUUAAAGCUUGGUGUGCUUCGUUAGUUGUUCAAUUCUCACUUAAAUUCGUUUAUCCGCUUGUAUAAAAUAGACGCUGAACACACAUAUAUAUACAUGUAUAGCUAUGGUGAAUUCAUUAUGGUUUCAGACGAUUUGUUGGUUCA